rnacentral:rRNA from 1 species
GACGAACGCUGGCGGCGUGCCUAACACAUGCAAGUCGAGCGGGAUCCAGUCGGUAGCAAUACCGAGGAAGAUCUAGCGGCGAACGGGUGAGUAACACGUGAGAAACCUGCCCUGAAGUCUGGGAUAACCCGAGGAAACUCGAGCUAAUACCGGAUGCCUUCCACUGAUCGCAUGGUCUGGUGGAAGAAAGAUUUAUCGCUUCAGGAGGGUCUCGCGGCCUAUCAGCUAGUUGGCGGGGUAACGGCCCACCAAGGCAUCGACGGGUAGCUGGUCUGAGAGGACGAUCAGCCACACUGGGACUGAGACACGGCCCAGACUCCUACGGGAGGCUG